rnacentral:lncRNA from 1 species
AUAUAUAUAUAUAUAUAUAUAGAGAGAGAGAGAGAGAGAGAGAGAGAGAGAGAGAGAGAGUUUUGCUAGAAUACUAUCGGUAGUAAAUGGCUCGAUUUAUUACCGAUUUGUUUUCGAUGAUAGAGCUUCCAAAUUGAUGAUCGGCACCGUUAAACAUGAUCUAAACUAUUUAAACUAUCUGGAAAUCAAAUUUCACUCAUUUUCAAUAUUGUUCUUUUAUCCAUCAAGUGAACAGAAAAAUGAAUGACUGGAAAUGAAUAUUCUUUAAAAAGUGAUGACACAAUUUUUAUAUUUGAGAUCUAGAGUCUAGAUCUUAUUUUAAAUAGUUUUAAAAAAAUUUUAAUAAAAAUUUAGUUGAUUUAAACUUUUCUAUACCGUUAAACGAGCAAACGCACCAUAUCGGCUAUUAAAAUUAUAGAUUUUGUGACGCUUUGAUCGUUCAGUUAGUGAUGUUAAAAAAAUUAUGAAAUUUAAUUUCUAGAUAAUUUAAAUGGUCUAGAUUAUGUUCAAUGGUGCCAGUCGUCGAUUUGGAAGCUCUAUCAUCAAAAAUAAAUCGGUAGUAAACCGAACAAUUUACUACCGAUAGUAGCCCAGUCAAUCUCUCUCUCUCUCUCUCUCUCUCUCUCUCUCUCUCUCUAUAUAUAUAUAUAUA